CGAAGGAUCCUGGUGUAGCAAUACACCGGAAGAUUUAGUGGCGAACGGGUGAGGAUCACGUGAGAAACGUGCCCCAGACUCUGGGAUAACAAUUGGAAACGAUUGCUAAUACCGGAUGACGUCGGAGAAUCGCAUGAUUCACUGACGAAAGAUAUUUCGGUUUGGGAGCGUCUCGCGGCCUAUCAGCUUGUUGGUGGGGUAAUGGCCUACCAAGGCAACGACGGGUAGCUGGUCUGAGAGGAUGAUCAGCCACACUGGGACUGAGACACGGCCCAGACUCCUACGGGAGGCAGCAGUGGGGAAUCUUGCGCAAUGGGCGAAAGCCUGACGCAGCAACGCCGCGUGCGGGAUGAAGGCCUUCGGGCUGUAAACCGCUUUCAGCAGGAACGAAAAUGACGGUACCUGCAGAAGAAGGAGCGGCCAACUACGUGCCAGCAGCCGCGGUGACACGUAGGCUCCAAGCGUUGUCCGGAUUUAUUGGGCGUAAAGAGCUCGUAGGCGGUUGAGUAAGUCGGGUGUGAAAACUCUGGGCUUAACCCGGAGACGCCAUCCGAUACUGCUCUGACUAGAGUUCAGGAGGGGAGUGGGGAAUUCCUAGUGUAGCGGUGAAAUGCGCAGAUAUUAGGAGGAACACCGGUGGCGAAGGCGCCACUCUGGACUGAAACUGACGCUGAGGAGCGAAAGCAUGGGUAGCAAACAGGAUUAGAUACCCUGGUAGUCCAUGCCGUANACGGUGGGCACUAGGUGUGGGUUCCAACUAACGGGAUCCGCGCCGUCGCUAACGCAUUAAGUGCCCCGCCUGGGGAGUACGGUCGCAAGACUA
rnacentral:rRNA from 1 species